UACGGGGGGAGCAAGCGUUGUUCGGAUUUACUGGGCGUAAAGGGCGCGUAGGCGGUCAGCACAAGUCAGUUGUGAAAUCUCCGGGCUUAACUCGGAAAGGUCAACUGAUACUGUGCGACUAGAGUGCGGAAGGGGCAACUGGAAUUCUCGGUGUAGCGGUGAAAUGCGUAGAUAUCGAGAGGAACACCUGCGGCGAAGGCGGCUUGCUGGGCGCGAUCUGACGCUGAGGCGCGAAAGCGUGGGGAGCGAACAGG
rnacentral:rRNA from 1 species